rnacentral:rRNA from 1 species
GAUGAACGCUGGCGGCGUGCCUAAUACAUGCAAGUCGAGCGAACAGACGAGGAUCUUGCUCCUCUGACGUUAGCGGCGGACGGGUGAGUAACACGUGGAUAACCUACCUAUAAGACUGGGAUAACUUCGGGAAACCGGAGCUAAUACCGGAUAAUAUAUUGAACCGCAUGGUUCAAUAGUGAAAGCCGGUUUUGCUGUCACUUAUAGAUGUAUCCGCGCCGCAUUAGCUAGUUGGUAAGGUAACGGCUUACCAAGGCAACGAUGCGUAGCCGACCUGAGAGGGUGAUCGGCCACACUGGAACUGAGACACGGUCCAGACUCCUACGGGAGGCAGCAGUAGGGAAUAUUCCGCAAUGGGCGAAAGCUUGACGGAGCAACGCCGCGUGAGUGAUGAAGGUCUUCGGAUCGUAAAACUCUGUUAUUAGGGAAGAACAAAUGUGUAAGUAACUAUGCACGUCUUGACGGUACCUAAUCAGAAAGCCACGGCUAACUACGUG